rnacentral:rRNA from 1 species
GCGUGCCUAAUACAUGCAAGUCGAGCGGACUUAAAAAGCUUGCUUUUUAAGUUAGCGGCGGACGGGUGAGUAACACGUGGGCAACCUGCCUGUAAGACUGGGAUAACUUCGGGAAACCGGAGCUAAUACCGGAUAAUCCUUUUCUACUCAUGUAGGAAAGCUGAAAGACGGUUUACGCUGUCACUUACAGAUGGGCCCGCGGCGCAUUAGCUAGUUGGUGAGGUAACGGCUCACCAAGGCGACGAUGCGUAGCCGACCUGAGAGGGUGAUCGGCCACACUGGGACUGAGACACGGCCCAGACUCCUACGGGAGGCAGCAGUAGGGAAUCUUCCGCAAUGGACGAAAGUCUGACGGAGCAACGCCGCGUGAGUGAUGAAGGUUUUCGGAUCGUAAAACUCUGUUGUUAGGGAAGAACAAGUACGAGAGUAACUGCUCGUACCUUGACGGUACCUAACCAGAAAGCCACGGCUAACUACGUGCCAGCAGCCGCGGUAAUACGUAGGUGGCAAGCGUUGUCCGGAAUUAUUGGGCGUAAAGCGCGCGCAGGCGGUCCUUUAAGUCUGAUGUGAAAGCCCACGGCUCAACCGUGGAGGGUCAUUGGAAACUGGGGGACUUGAGUGCAGAAGAGGAGAGUGGAAUUCCACGUGUAGCGGUGAAAUGCGUAGAGAUGUGGAGGAACACCAGUGGCGAAGGCGACUCUCUGGUCUGUAACUGACGCUGAGGCGCGAAAGCGUGGGGAGCGAACAGGAUUAGAUACCCUGGUAGUCCACGCCGUAACGAUGAGUGCUAAGUGUUAGAGGGUUUCCGCCCUUU